rnacentral:rRNA from 1 species
UACGAAGGGUGCAAGCGUUACUCGGAAUUACUGGGCGUAAAGCGUGCGUAGGUGGUUCGUUAAGUCUGAUGUGAAAGCCCUGGGCUCAACCUGGGAAUGGCAUGGAAACUGGCGACCUAGAGUGCGGUAGAGGGUAGUGGAAUUCCCGGUGUAGCAGUGAAAUGCGUAGAGAUCGGGAGGAACAUCCGUGGCGAAGGCGACUACCUGGACCAGCACUGACACUGAGGCACGAAAGCGUGGGGAGCAAACAGG